AUUGAACGCUGGCGGCAGGCCUAACACAUGCAAGUCGAGCGGAGCGGCGGACGGGUGAGUAAUGCCUAGGAAUCUGCCUGGUAGUGGGGGAUAACGUCCGGAAACGGGCGCUAAUAUCGCAUACUAUCAGAUGAGCCUAGGUCGGAUUAGCUAGUUGGUGGGGUAAAGGCCUACCAAGGCGACGAUCCGUAACUGGUCUGAGAGGAUGACCGGCCACAUUGGGACUGAGAUACGGCCCAGACUACUACGGGAGGCAGCAGUGGGGGAGAUUGCACAAUGGGCGAAAGCCUGAUGCAGCGACGCCGCGUGGGGGAUGAAGGCUUUCGGGUUGUAAACCUCUUUCGCUAUCGAACGGGUAGGUGGAGAAGAAGCGCCGGCUAACUACGUGCCAGCAGCCGCGGUAAUUC
rnacentral:rRNA from 1 species